UACAGAGGGUGCAAGCGUUGUUCGGAAUUAUUGGGCGUAAAGCGCGUGUAGGCGGCUUUGCAAGUCGGGUGUGAAAGCCCUCAGCUUAACUGAGGAAGUGCGCCCGAAACUGCAGAGCUUGAAUACCGGAGAGGAUGGCGGAAUUCCCCAAGUAGAGGUGAAAUUCGUAGAUAUGGGGAGGAACACCGGUGGCGAAGGCGGCCAUCUGGACCGCAACUGACGCUGAGGCGCGAAAGCGUGGGGAGCAAACAGGG
rnacentral:rRNA from 1 species